rnacentral:misc_RNA from 1 species
GUUUGCACGAGGAAGGAAGGGAGGAGGGUACAUACAAAGACAAAAUAUUGUUUUGCGACAGAGGAACAAAAAGAAUUCCUCUUCAAUGUAUGUUAAAAUAAUAAAAUACGCGAAGAUAUUAAAAGGGGAAGCAAAUAUAAAGAGUAAGCCGAUUGUUAUUCUAGUAAUCUAAAUACAUGGGUAUACCAUAAAUUUAAAGGCCCAUUUUGAAACUAAGACAAAAUUUGUUUCAUCUCCAAAAGCACACUAGCAAGAUAGCAACAGGGCUCAAUAAAUAUGCUAGGAGAAGAAAAAUUAAUGGUCAUUACUAUUAAAGGAGUUAAUAAGCAGAUAGAAAUCAGUAUUUU